rnacentral:pre_miRNA from 1 species
CUGGGUAAUCGCUCUAGACCAUGUGAUGUCGCAUGCUGCAGCGCUCAUGACUAGAGAGUUUACUCAUCC